rnacentral:lncRNA from 1 species
CUUUUGGGGCUACUUUACCGUAAAUAUAUAGGGGGUAAAUAUUCCUUUAAAAGGCAUCUCCAGUAUCCUAAUAAAUUCAUGGGAUAUUCAUAAAGAUCAAAACCCUCUCUUCUUGAUAAUCAAUCAAAUCCAAAUGUUCACGUUCGAGAAAUAUGCUACUAACGGCCCUCGAAUUUCGGAGAAAUUUAUAUCCAAAUCUUCGUACAUUUGAGAAAUAUGCUACUGACGCCCUCGAAUUACGGAGAAAAUCAUUUAUAUCCAAAUCUUCAUACAUUUAAGAAAUAUGCUACUGAUGACCCUCAAAUUACGGAGAAAAUCAAGGAGAUCAAAUCAAGAAGACAAACCCUCCUUUCAUGGAGAUCAAAUCCAAAUGUUCACGUUUGAGAAAUACGCCACUAACGACCCUCGAAUUACGGAGAAAUUUAUAUCCAAAUCUUCAUAUAUUCGAGAAAUAUGCUACUGACGGCCCUCGAAUUAUGGAGAAAAUCAUUUAUAUCCAAAUCUUUAUACAUUCGAGAAAUAUGCUACUGACGGCCCUCAAAUUACGAAGAAAAUCAAGAGAGAAGAAUCAAGGGAGAAAAAGAAGAAUAAGGGAGGAACAGAUUUGUACCCCAUCGUUUAUCAAUAAAAUUGUUGUUUUUUCAUAAUUUUAUUUGUGGUUGAAGUUUUUUUUUUUCAUGAAUUAAAUUAUGUUACUGUUAUUUUUUCAUAUUUUUAUUUGUGGUUGAAGUUUAUUUUUUAUAAAUUAAAUUAUGUUGGAAAC